rnacentral:misc_RNA from 1 species
GGUUUCCGUAGGUGACCUGCGGAAGGAUCAUUGUCGAUACCUGCCUAGCAGAACGACCCGCGAACUUGUCUUACUAUCGGGGAAGCAGGAGGGGGCUGCUGGUUCCUUCCUGCUGCCUCUGUCCGGGUGUGCGCGCUCGGAGCCUCGAGGGGCGACGCGCGCGCAUUCCCCGGCCAAACAACAAACCCCGGCGCGAGCUGCGCCAAGGAACUUGAACAAGAGAGCACGGUCAGUGCAUCUUACUUAUAAACAAAACGACUCUCGGCAACGGAUAUCUCGGCUCUCGCAUCGAUGAAGAACGUAGCGAAAUGCGAUACUUGGUGUGAAUUGCAGAAUCCCGUGAACCAUCGAGUUUUUGAACGCAAGUUGCGCCCGAAGCCAUUAGGUUGAGGGCACGUCUGCCUGGGCGUCUCACAUUGCGUCGCCCCCUACCCCGCUCGGAGAAGGGUUGGGGGCGGAUGUUGGUCCCCCGUGCGCUCGCGCGCGGUCGGCCUAAAAACGAGUCCCCUGCGACAGGCGACACGACACGACGAGUGGUGGUUGACAAACUGUUGCGUCUUGACGUGCGUGCCCCUGUUGCCACGGGAAGUCUGUUGCGACCCAAACGUGCCGUUGCCACGGUGCUUCCAUGCGACCCCAGUCAGGCGACACCCCC